rnacentral:lncRNA from 1 species
GUACCAUCCUUUGUAUCCCACAUCUGAAUCUAUUUGACCACGUGACAGAAUCAUCCUCAAUGAUGAGUUGAUCUAUCUUAAGAGCCCACCUCGUAUAGGCAAUACUAGCCCACGUAGCCCACAACUCCAUCUCGGGAUCAUAGUAUCCACCAGGCAAUUUCCAUCUGCCACCAACGAUCUCGAGUUCGGGCCAUGAAUCAUGAACCCCGCUCCUUUUCUCAAGUCAGACACACUGCUAUCAAAAUUAAUCUUGAGAAAUAUCGGGGAUGGAGGCUGCCAAGAGAUGAAUAUUCGACGGGUUGCUCAACAAGCCCAAUGGGAGUCCCAGUGAUCUGCCAUCCUUAAGACUGAAUUGGAUGGUGAAGAAUAAACAAACUCCAUUGCCUGGGCCAGCGCUCUCUCCACCACAACAAUCAUUGAUGAUCGUCUCGACUCAAGCACCAUAUUAUUCAUAAAUAACCAAAUAUUGUAUGCAACAUAGCCACACGAAUCCCAAUGAGCCUAAUUAAAUUUGAAGCUAAACUCUAUCAGAGAAACUCCACAAAGGUCUGGGAUGAGGUUGGUCAGAACAGCGAUCGUAAGUGAACCUACCUGCCGUCAGAUCUGAACAGCUCUCGAACACUAGAACAACACAUGCUCUAUAGUCUCCUCCUCCACCUCACAACAAGGAUAGAUAGAUGAGAGAUCUAGACCCCUAUUCCUCAGCACCACAACAUAUGAUGUGUGUGUGUGAACAUUUUUCAUGUGCAAUUGCUUUUUCCCUCAUAUUGUAUUUUCAAUCAUCGUAUAUUAUAAUAUAUGAAUAUUGAAUAGCCUAUGCUUUUGUGUCAUCUAUUUAUACAUAAUUAUAUAAAAUAUAUUCUUUUUUAUUAGAUUAACAUCCUUUUUUUUCUUAAUCCAUUGCAAG